rnacentral:misc_RNA from 1 species
AAUUCUCAAAACCCCCUUUUUCUUUGAUCCUUUUUUGGGGUUUGGAAAAGGAGUUUUGGACUUGGAGGUUCAAUGCUUGCCUUUCACUUUGGAAAGCGAGCUCCUCUCAAAUAAAUUAGUGGGGUCCGCUUUGCUGAUCCUUAACGUGAUAAGAUGUUUCUACGUUUUGGAUUUGGCACUGUCCCUUGGAUGCCUGCUUCUAACUGUCUCACGGACAAUGAUGGUGCUCUGGUCACUACCAUUUAUAUUGGUGGAAGGCUGGACCCACAAAAAUAAAA